rnacentral:rRNA from 1 species
UACGGAGGGGGCUAGCGUUGUUCGGAAUGACUGGGCGUAAAGCGCGCGUAGGCGGAUCGGAAAGUUGGGGGUGAAAUCCCGGGGCUCAACCUCGGAAUUGCCUUCAAGACUUCCGGUCUUGAGUUCGAGAGAGGUGAGUGGAAUUCCGAGUGUAGAGGUGAAAUUCGUAGAUAUUUGGAGGAACACCAGUGGCGAAGGCGGCUCACUGGUCCAUUACUGACGCUGAGGUGCGAAAGCGUGGGGAGCAAACAGG